rnacentral:rRNA from 1 species
CGUAGGGCGCGAGCGUUGUCCGGAAUUAUUGGGCGUAAAGAGCUUGUAGGCGGUUUGUCGCGUCUGCUGUGAAAGCCCCGGGGCUUAACCCCGGGUUUGCAGUGGGUACGGGCUAACUAGAGUGCAGUAGGGGAGACUGGAAUUCCUGGUGUAGCGGUGAAAUGCGCAGAUAUCAGGAGGAACACCAAUGGCGAAGGCAGGUCUCUGGGCUGUAACUGACGCUGAGAAGCGAAAGCAUGGGGGAGACGAACAGGAUU